ACGCCGCCUCGCCGCCUCGCGCCGCCUCGCCGCCUCGCGCCGCCUCGCCGCCUCGCGCCGCCGCCGACGUCUCCUCCCGCCCCGCGCCUCGCGGGCUGCCGCCGCCGCCCAGUCCUACCUUCAUCGGCCGACCGAAUUUUUUGCGUGGAAUCAGAGAACAAAUCUAUUAACAUGUCAUCUCGCAAACGCAAUGGGCCUCCCACCCCAUUCCAAGAUAUAAGCAACGGCCAAGACUUGGGAUUUUGAUUAAAUGAGCACGCAUAAGCUGAUCCAUCCGUAGUUUCUUCAGAGAGGAGCAACCAGCACCAAACCUACCUUUGCCUUGUUCCAUCAGUGGCUGUUGUCAAAAUAUUCAGAGAGCUUUCAGGUGUUCAGAGACCUUUGAAGUGUUCAUUACAUUUACAGGUCAUGAUAUGAUACAGGAAAUACUCAUGCUAUGAUACCACUUAACUUUGGAUUUACACUUCCCAGAAACAUAUAUGAUAAUGUAAAAUCAAAACUUCAACAAAUAAAUGGUCAAACCAGUAAAGGUAGCUUAGUUAUUUUUUCUUGAAUACAAUGUCUCCAUGAUAUUAUUUGCUACCGCCCAUGGAUUAUUUGACUAACAUAUGCAUUUUCAGGCACUUAUUUGGGAUAGAUAUGCCAAAGAAAGAUAAACUCUACAAGAAUAAGCAACAUAUGGCAAAAGCAUCGCACUCUGAAAUCUGAACAUAUGUGCAACUCUGACUGCACUAGAACUUCUGCCAGAACGUAUGUCGUUGGACAGCUAUUAUGGCUAAUUCGGUUCAUCGCUCAAUUACUUUUGGAAUUUUCUUUGCUAUAACAGUAAUGCAAACAUCAGAUAGUUUUGGUGAAAAUGAAAUUAAUUUGGAAAUUGGCAUUAGAGAUAUAUAUAUUCUCCAACAACACAGAAAAUGCAGAAGUUUAUGUAGGUGUGUCUACCAAUCUACCAUUUUGUACAGUAUGAGAUCUAGGUAUUUUAUUUAAAAUUUUAACUGUAUAAAUCUUGCUCAGUCUACUGAUUUGGAACGCACAAUGCUAAUAUAUAUUGUUCCUUGGAAUUGGGCAGUGUUAACUCUUAACUUUAUUAUGGCAGCAGAUGUCCUCAUUUCAAACCUAAGACAUGUGUACAUGUUGGACUAGGAUUGCAAAUACUGCUUGGGUAUAAUGGAAUUAACUCUAAAAAGACAACUUUAGUACUUCCUUUGGGAAAAUCCAGAUUGGUAAAAUUAUUUCGUGUAUACACUGAUUGAUUCUUUCUGGGAGCCAAGUAAUAUUUGAAUUAACUAUGGUUAACUGUAAGUAAUCAGUCUGUCAUAGCUUUUGUAUGAUGAGAACAUGCAUGAUAUCUGCUUUGUAAUGCUGAAUGUGAAUGGAAACAGGGAGGUCAAAGACUCUGGGUCCGGGGUCAAAGGGAUUGGUGUUCUCCAGAUCUUGCGUGCAUUUGUCUGGUUUUUUUGCCACAUCAAUUGAAGCUGCUCUCCUGUCAUCACUUUUUCUUGAUUUGCUUUCAUUUUCUUCAUUCUUAGACUGCUGAAAAUCAUGUCGUGUCCUCGGCCACUACUUCAAAUCAAAACAGCAUCAAACUACAAGCCACCAUUUUUGUAAUCUGUGUGUAGGCUAAUCAAUUGUUGGCUUUCAUUUCAGUGGGUCAUUGGCUGCAUACUACUUUGAGCAACUUCCAAGUUGUUUUCUGAUGAUGCUCCUCUCACCACUGCUUUAGAAACUAAUCAGUGUUUUUUCCUUUGGUAAUAUAUCACUUCCAGGUUUAUGAAAAAGCAAGAAGUGGUAGAUAACAACUUAUUUUAUUUGAAGGACAGUCCCACUUGUCAGCUUAUUUUGUUGUGCUGAUUUGUGCGAUUCUCAAGGAGACGGAUGUGGCACUGCAGCAGGCCAUAGAGUUGUGCACCUUCACCAUCCUUUGCCACAUCCGAGUCUAUUUGCCAUCUAUUGUAGUAAGAGAGAUGUAUGCAGGUACCUGGAAUUGUGGAUGUUUAACAAAAUGUGAAACAUUGGGCCCAACUGGAACUAAAUAUGGAUAAAGCUAGGUUUCUUUAACCUGGAAAAAGAGGAUUCAGGAUGUGCUGCAACACAAGUACUACCUGUAGCUUCAGCAUGCAGUGGACAACUACAAAGAAUUUUAACAUAAUCAGACAAGGGCAGUACAAAAAUUGAUAGAGACUAUUAAGACUUAAGAUUAGGAAGCGGAUAGUGCUUAUUAUUUCGGCAAUACAACCAGGCUUCAUGCAUCUUGUCAAUGACCUUCAUGGGAAUCAUGUCAUACAUAAAUGCUUGACAAACUUUGGUGCAGAAUAAUGUGAGCCGGCAGGUAUACUUGCGUCUGUGAUUAUGCUCUGCUCAUUAAUGUGAGCCAAAAGGGAGAACUUCCCUAGGGACAUGGCGAGCCUCUGGACCAGAUCUCACGACCGUGCCUCUUCUUUGCCGGAGCUCCGCAGCACGCCGCCACAAUAACCCUAGCUCAUGGAGGAUGGAGUAGCUGCCUGAACAUUUGGCGUUGGGUCUGGCAGAACGGGAGAGAAAGGAAGAACAGGGUGCUUUUUGUAAACAUAACAUUACUAGAUGGUGGAGGAGAGAAAGAUCUGGACCGAACAUCUCUGAUCAAACGUUGGUUUGCAUGUUUUCAUCUAAAGUGGGUUUUCAUAAGAUACUUUCUCUCUCUAUAUAUAUUCCUGAAGCCUGUGAAGAAAAGAAGGCAAUUCAUCUUGCUUUGGAUA